GCCUGGGUGGCUCAGUCGGUUAAGCGUCUGACUUCGGCUCAGGUCAUGAUCUCGAGGUUCGUGGGUUCAAACCCCACGUCGGGCU